rnacentral:lncRNA from 9 species
AGUGCCAGCCGGGCAGUGGCCUGGAGACCACGGGGCAGAGCCGGAGCGCCAUGCUCCUCUCUGCGUGGCUGUGCUGCGUGUGGACGAGUCCUCAGAAAGAGAAAAACUGCUCUCCUGAGGGUGGCACCCUGGCAUAUGGAAGUUCCUGGGGGGCCAGGGACUGAAUCCAAGCGGGGCGGCAACGUUGGAUCCUUUAACCUGCUGCACCAGGCCUGGAAUGGAACCCACGCUUCACCAGCAACCUGAGCCGCUGCAGUGGGGUUCUCAACCCACUGUGCCCUAGUGGGAACUCCACGCCUCCUCAUUUUAGAAUUAAGAGGUCCACUGUUCUGUUUUUCGAGUGUAUUCCUGAAUGAAAUCUUUGAAAACAGGUCAUAGGGAUCGCUUCGAUUCCUGGAUGAGUUCAAGCAAUCACUUGUCUCCGAUUCUGAUGUUCAGAACAGGUGGUCCAGGUGGGGACAUUCGCCUGAAGCCACACCUGCAGAACCGGAAUGGCGUGCAGACUGGACGCUCCGGGAGGCAGAGGGUUUGGGGCUCCUCCAGGCCUGGUCUCAGUGCUCACACAGUCAGUGCCCAGGCCCGCGAAGAUGCGCCAGGACUGUAUGCCUUAGUAGAGUGAAGGGCUGCUUGUCUGAAGUUUCCACGGAACAGGAGGGCACCCUAAUCUGGAGGUGGGCAUCAAUGCUUUUUUUUUCCUAAGUUAUGUCUCCAAACCGGGUGGCUACUUUGGCGAGACCCCAAACACCCAACGACCAGCCAAAUCAAACCCCCAGACACCCUUCAAGCUUCCCCAUCGACGGCUGGGAGCCACAGCAGAGCGUGUCCCCGCUCUGAGGGGCAGCCUUAAACUUCCGAAGCUGACUGGCCGCGGCCCUGACCCGCUCCUUCCCUCUGAAACGCAGGCCCGCGUCUCCCGCUGGCCUCCCUCCCUUUGGGGGUGGUUUCUUGCCGCCGCCUCCGUGGGGGUUUGUGUGUAGCACGGUGGCAUCAAGAAAAAAGCGAACACUUACGUGGUGCUUGCUGCCCUUUGAGACAGUUCUUCUUUGACGAAGGCCUUGCCCCUGUGUGGCCAGAAUCCCAGCCGGCCUGACUUGGGAUUAACGGUGUCCAUUCGUGGAGGAAGGUGGGGGCAGGUGCGUCAGAGCACGUGCUGCCCGUCAGACGGCUCAGCUGAUGACCCUGUGCCGGAAAAGGACUCGGCUGGCAUGGCCCCUCGCGGGGACAGGUGCUCAGGCACAGAGUGGGUCCCUUCGGCAAAGGAUGACGCCCGGGCAUGAAUAUGUAUGUUUUGAGGAAGGAGUGACAGUGGAGACAGGACAAAGGACCGCAGCCAGGGCCCCCUCCCCAAGGCCUAUAAUGACACCAGGAGCCAGAGCUUCCUUGAGGAAAGCUGGUCCUGCUCACUUUUCGAGGUGAAACUGCACCUGAAGCCACGUUCCUGCGACGGGAACACUGCGGGCUCCUUCUGGCAGCAUCAUCAACACGACGUCUUUAUGCUGACUGCAUCCUCUGUCCAGAGACGUCGGAAAAAACAGGAUGAGCCCCGUGGGUCUAAAGAGGACGCUCCACUUCCUUUCUCAAAACCUUCCGCCGUGUCCUCCCACCUUUGGUCUUGAAUUCUAGAAGAUGGAUCUGCUGGCCCCGGACCCAAGAAGACAGUGCGCCACGGGUCUUUUCCACAGCAGCUCCGUCUCACGAAACACAGGUGCUUUUUACCGGAUCUUUCCUGCGGCAUUUAAAAAAAUCUGCCCUGCACUUUGCCACAUUGAGUUUUUCCAUCCCCAAGGCACCGCUGCGAGCUGGUGGGAGGGGAAAGCGUUAAGUUCUCUUAGGCCUGCGGAGAGGAGAGGUCGACAGGUCCUGAAUCACACAGGGACUCAGAAUACCUGCCUGGGCGGUUUCUGAGUCAGUUUGAGGGCUGGCUGUUUAUACAGCAGGAGGUAUUUCUUCAUUUGGGGAGCUUCAUUUGGGGGGGGGGGCUCACUGAGUGUUUACUCCCUGCUCCCAAGCCAACAAAGUGAAAACAAAAAUAUAUUCAGCAAAGUGUGUAGA